ensembl:rRNA 5S_rRNA 5S ribosomal RNA
UUAGACACAGCCAUAUCAUUCUGCAGCCCAAUACUGGUUACUCACUGGAGCUAAACAAGGCUGAGUCCGGUCAGUACCUAGAUGGGAGACCACAUGGGAAAACUAUGUUGCUGUCGGAA